rnacentral:rRNA from 1 species
UACGAACUGUGCGAACGUUAUUCGGAAUCACUGGGCUUACAGGGUGCGUAGGCGGCUUAGCAAGUCAGGUGUGAAAGCCCCCCGGCUCAACCGGGGAACUGCGCUUGAAACUGCUGAGCUCGAGUCAGCUAGAGGUACACGGAACUUCCAGUGGAGCGGUGAAAUGUGUUGAUAUUGGAAGGAACACCGGAGGCGAAAGCGGUGUACUGGGGCUGGUCUGACGCUGAGGCACGAAAGCCAGGGGAGCGAACGGG